rnacentral:rRNA from 1 species
UACGAAGGGUGCAAGCGUUAAUCGGAAUUACUGGGCGUAAAGGGCGCGUAGGCGGUUGUUUAAGUCUGUUGUGAAAUCCCCGGGCUCAACCUGGGAAUGGCGAUGGAUACUGGGCAGCUAGAGUGUGUCAGAGGAUGGUGGAAUUCCCGGUGUAGCGGUGAAAUGCGUAGAGAUCGGGAGGAACAUCAGUGGCGAAGGCGGCCCUCUGGGACAACACUGACGCUGAAGCACGAAAGCGUGGGGAGCAAACAGG